UACAGAGGGUGCGAACGUUGUUCGGAAUUACUGGGCAUAAAGAGCACGUAGGCGGCCCCGCAAGUGUGGGGUGAAAUCCCACGGCUUACCCGUGGAACUGCCUGGCAGACUGCGGUGCUAGAGGUUGGUAGGGGAGAGCGGAACUCUUGGUGGAGCGGUGAAAUGUGUAGAGAUCGGGAGGAACACCGGUGGCGAAGGCGGGUCUCUGGGCAUCUCCUGACGCUGAGGCGCGAAAGCGUGGGGAGCAAACGGG
rnacentral:rRNA from 1 species